CAAGUCGAACGAGAAUCUGGAGGUUCAAGUUUUCGGACAAGAACUUUCGGAGGAAAGUGGCGGAAGGGUGAGUACAACAUGGAUAAUCUACCUUCAAGUUGGGUAUAGCUUCCCGAAAGGGGAGAUAAUCCCGAAUGUGGUGAUCCGGCGCCUGUCGGAGAAUCCAAAGGUGGGGACCGCAAGGCCUGCCGCUUGAAGAUGAGUCCGUGCACUAUCAGCUAGUUGGUGAGGUAAUGGCUCACCAAGGCGAUGACGGUUAGCUGGUCUGAGAGGAUGGUCAGCCACACUGGGACUGAGAUACUGCCCAGACUCCUACGGGAGGCUGCAGUCGAGAAUCAUUCGCAAUGGGCGCAAACCUGACGGUGCGACGUCGCGUGGAGGAUGAAGGUCUUCGGAUUGUAAACUCCUGUCAUGUGGGAUAAAUGGCCAGGGCAUGAAUAGUGCCUUGGAAUGAUAGUACCACAGGAGGAAGGGACGGCUAACUCUGUG
rnacentral:rRNA from 1 species